rnacentral:rRNA from 1 species
GACGUAGGGGGCCAGCGUUGUUCGGAAUUACUGGGUGUAAAGGGUUCGUAGGCGGUGUGGCAAGUCGGGAGUGAAAUCUCUGGGCUCAACCCAGAGUCUGCUUCCGAAACUGCUGUGCUUGAGUGUGGGAGAGGCGCGUGGAAUUGCAGGUGUAGCGGUGAAAUGCGUAGAUAUCUGCAGGAACACCGGUGGCGAAGGCGGCCUUCUGGACGGUGACUGACGCUGAGAUGCGAAAGCGUGGGGAGCAAACAGG